CCUGAGGCCCCGCAGCGGGGGUGAGCAGGACUGCCAUUUCCUGGAUGUGUCCUUCUUGGGUCCAGCUUCACCCCCCCCAACCCCAGGUCCUAAGCCUUGCUCCCUGGGCCCCCCAUCCCUGACCACACAGGUAUGUGUGGUCCUUCUAGAAAACAGGCUUUCUUUGAAUCUGCUUCAAGCAUUGUCUUUUGUCCCUGAUAGACCAGAUCCCCCAUCAAUCUUCACGCGGCCAGCUCCUUCUCAACACUGUCAGCUUGGAGACCUCCUCAUUGUUCGGGACAACGCACCAGCUGCUGUCUCAGCCACUCUCAAUUCCAGGUCCUGUUUCACUGCCUUCAUAGCAUUUAUCACUACAUGUCCUCAUCUCAUUUGUUUAGUCACGUGGUGCCCUCUUCGCCCUGCUACAGGUACGCGUCACAAGACGGAUUGUGUCUGUCUCAUCACUGCUGGUGUCCACAGCGCCUAGAACAUGGCCUGGCUCAGAGGAGGUGCUCAGUAGUAAGACAGCUGUGGUGGCUGCAACCAGAGGGCUUCCGAAGACGAAGGGAUAUUUGUGAGUUUCAGAUCAAAAACAAAACACGACUUCAAAAUAAUCCAUCUAUACAAACACUAUUGUUGGCCAGAGAACGUGACGUGGAUUUAAUUGGGUAAAACUCCUGAAUCUCUGUGUUCUUUGCAGUUCCAAAAGUGAUUCCGAAACUGGACAUUUUUCAGGAUUCCUAAGUAUUUAUUUUCUGGUUGUUUAAGCUAUGAAAAUAACAGAAACAACUGGCAAUAUUUGAGUAGUUUUCCUCUUUCACGGUCUUUGUGUCUUAAAGUCUAAUUUAGGUUCAGGUGAAUUAUCUGCCCUCAGAUCUCUCGGCCCAAUGAGGACAGCCGCCCCCACUCAUGCAAUUCAAAAUGAAAACCAUAAAACAAGUUAAUGUUAUCCAUCAUUCUGGCUUUUUCCCCAUGAUUACUUCAACGCUUUUUAAAAAUUAUUUCUCAAAAUUAGGUUAUUUCAGAGACUUGGUCUUGAUACCCUAGCUUUGUCAUGGUUAGUCUGCUGCUGGUUAGUUCAGCCCCUUUGUGAAACUCACCCAUAAAUGGCGUAUCUGAGAGGCCCACUGACA